UAGGUAUUACUGUACGGCAAAAUGCUUGAAAUGUGAGGCGUGUACUCACUUUUGGAAGGUAGGAAGGCGGUGUACAUGCCUCGAGUGCCCUUGUCAAGUCGUAUAGAGUAUUUAUAUAUACGCAUACAUCUGGCUCCUAUACGGCUCCUUCCAUCAAAUCAGCCCGCCUGCAAGAGCCAGCCAGGCGAGGCGGAGACGUCUGGUGUGCCGCAACCGAUGAAGACAUUCCCAAGCACCGCAUCCCCCCAUGGACGAUGAGCGGAGGAGCGAUCGCAAUUUGUGCACCAGAGCUGUAAACCAAGAGGAAACACUGGCAUUGAACGCCACACAACAACACCCACCCCUCGCCAACCCUGCCUCCCAGCGGGCAUUGACGUGGGCAAGGGGCAUGGAGUGGCACUCUGGAAAAAUAAAAUAUAGGAGCGUCUCACACGCAUCGCA